rnacentral:rRNA from 1 species
CCUACGGGUGGCUGCAGUGGGGAAUAUUGGACAAUGGGCGAAAGCCUGAUCCAGCCAUGCCGCGUGUGUGAAGAAGGCCUUCGGGUUGUAAAGCACUUUCAGUGGGGAAGAAAGCCUUGGGGCUAAUACCCUCGAGGAAGGACAUCACCCACAGAAGAAGCACCGGCUAACUCCGUGCCAGCAGCCGCGGUAAUACGGAGGGUGCGAGCGUUAAUCGGAAUUACUGGGCGUAAAGCGCGCGUAGGCGGUCUGAUAAGCCGGUUGUGAAAGCCCCGGGCUCAACCUGGGAACGGCAUCCGGAACUGUCAGGCUAGAGUGCAAGAGAGGAAGGUAGAAUUCCCGGUGUAGCGGUGAAAUGCGUAGAGAUCGGGAGGAAUACCAGUGGCGAAGGCGGCCUUCUGGACUGACACUGACGCUGAGGUGCGAAAGCGUGGGUAGCAAACAGGAUUAGAUACCCGGGUAGUC